CCUACGGGUGGCAGCAGUGGGGAAUAUUGCACAAUGGGGGAAACCCUGAUGCAGCGACGCCGCGUGAGCGAAGAAGUAUUUCGGUAUGUAAAGCUCUAUCAGCAGGGAAGAAAAUGACGGUACCUGAGUACGACGCUCCGGCUAAAUACGUGCCAGCAGCCGCGGUAAUACGUAUGGAGCAAGCGUUAUCCGGAUUUACUGGGUGUAAAGGGAGCGCAGGCGGCCUAGCAAGUCUGAUGUGAAAUGCCGGGGCUCAACCCCGGAGCUGCAUUGGAAACUGUGAGGCUGGAGUGUCGGAGAGGCAGGCGGAAUUCCUAGUGUAGCGGUGAAAUGCGUAGAUAUUAGGAGGAACACCAGUGGCGAAGGCGGCCUGCUGGACGAUGACUGACGCUGAGGCUCGAAAGCGUGGGGAGCAAACAGGAUUAGAUACCCGUGUAGUC
rnacentral:rRNA from 1 species